AAAUCAAUUUUCUCUUUUGUUCCCUCUAAUAUAAGUUAAAACCUCUCUCUCAAGUCUGUUCACUGUGCCGUUAAGUUUCACGUUCGAUUAAUAAGUUCGUCACUGAAUCUCAAUUGGAAUAAUGUGGACGUCAUUCAAACCAGAAAGUUUUUUCGAUCGGUAGAACAUUAGAACUGGUGGAAGGCAUCGAAUACCUUCACCCCUUACUUCAACUUACGCGACAUGUCGUCAAACAAAAUCCUAUGUGAUAGUCAAUUGUGAUAAAUACCUAAUAUCUAUAACGGUGUGACAAUGAACGUUCUUGGCUCUAGAACAGCAACAACAGUCAAUCGUGUACCUGAUAUGGGACAACCAACCAAGCCGCUGACCAACAGUCCACCAGUAACAAAAUCUAUGUUUCAACAUGUUAAAAUAGAACAUUUGGUGGCUGGAUUUUCAGGCGGAGUCGCGUCAACACUCAUACUUCAUCCCCUAGAUUUAUUGAAAAUUCGAUUUGCUGUCAAUGAUGGAAGAAAUGCAAUACCAAGUUAUGCUGGACUGGGAAAUGCCGUCACUACAAUAUUUAGACAAGAAGGAAUUAAAGGACUUUAUAAAGGAGUUACUCCAAAUGUUUGGGGAUCAGGGAGUGCAUGGGGUUUUUAUUUCCUAUUUUAUAAUUCAAUUAAAGCUUGGAUUCAAGGCGACAACACUAAAAAACCUUUGGGUCCAGCAUUACAUAUGACUGCAGCAGCAGAAGCAGGCAUACUCACAUUAAUGAUAACCAAUCCAGUAUGGGUAGUCAAGACUCGUUUGUGUUUGCAGUUUGAUAAACCCAAUGAUCCGAGCAAGUCGUACAGUGGCAUGUGGGAUGCAUUUCGCAAGAUAUAUGGUGCUGAGGGUGUACGAGGCCUGUACAAGGGCUUUGUUCCUGGCAUGUUUGGCGUAUCUCAUGGUGCCUUGCAGUUCAUGACUUACGAGGAGAUGAAAACUUUUUAUAAUGAAUACAGAAGAUUACCAAUUGAUGCUAAACUGGAAACAUCCGAAUACAUUGUAUUUGCUGCGUUUUCAAAAUUAAUAGCAGCUGGUUUGACAUAUCCGUAUCAAGUAAUUCGUGCGAGACUGCAAGAUCAGCACCGUGAAUACAGAGGCACUUGGCAUUGUAUAACCCAAACAUGGAGGUACGAAGGUGCUGGUGGAUUCUAUAAGGGAUUAUCGCCAUAUUUAUUACAUGUGCUUCCAAAUAUUUGUCUUGUGUUGUUGAUAUAUGAGAAAUUUACAAACAAUUAAUAUUCUAUUACUUCAAAUGAGUUUAAACGUAAACAAAACCUAUCAGUCCUUUGUUAGUUUUUUGAUUCCAAGUAUUUUUAUUUUAUUUAUAAUUAGUAUUAAUAAAAUGUUUUAUUCUUUAUGUUAAAAAUAAAAUUAUCUCUCCCUUAUAUUUAUAUGUUGAUAUAAAUAUAAAUAUGUAUAUAUUAUACACAUCAAUUGUGCAAUAUUCAAAGUUAAAAUUCUCUUAAAUACAAAAGUUAAUGACACCUGAAUAAGUUAAUAAAAAUAAAAGUUAUCAGUCUACAUUUAUUUGAUUUUUUUUCAUAUAACACGAUUAUUGCCUUUUGACAAAUACUUGACCCAUUCAAAAUUAUUUCUCUUGUAGACAGAAUUAUACUAUGACAAUACUCCUCUUAGUUGUAUGUGUAUUUUUAGAAAUAAUGUAAUAUAUGUUAUAUUUCUUUGUUUUCAAUUCUUUUAUUUCUUAACAGUUAAUCCUAGUUACUCAAAUUUAUUUUACAACUGGUAUUUUAUUUUAUUUUUAAUAUAUUAUACAAUUUCAUUCGAUGUGAUGAAGUAAAAUCAUUUUAAUUUUAUACCGUAUUAUGAUAAAGUAAUAAUUUCCAAAAGUUAUUUUUUAACAUUUGUUCUGUCGUCGCGAUACACUGAUAAUUGCAGUUAAAAUAAACUAAGUUAAAUAUUUUUAUUGUUUCUAUUGAUUUGAUUUACGUUCAAGAAAUAUUUUGUAUAAAUAUAUUCUUUUAUAUCAUGUUCAUUGUUACUAAACAUGUAAAAUAUAAAUAUAGAUCACGUGAUUAAUACAUUUGUAGUUCGUUUUAACAUGUCAUUUAACAGUGUGUUGCGGUGCUGCCAGUAGCAUAACAAAACAAUUGGUAUGAAAGAACACGAGGAUUUUAUAAAGGAAUUGGGCCAAAUCUAUUGAGAGUUAUACCAGCAACCAUCAUCACAUUUCUAGUCUAUGAAAACUUAUCUUCAUAUUUAAUUAAGUUGAAUACUAUACCU